UUCUUGAGUGUAAAGUCCAGUAGGUGGAAGGACUAGGCCUGGGACUCCUGGGUCCCCGGCAGUGUCUGGAGGCAUGGCUGGGGCUGGCGGGGGCCUCAGGGUCUGGGGGAACCUGGUGCUGCUGGGCCUGUGCAGCUGGACAGGGGCCAGGGCAGCCGACCCUCCUUCCCAAUUCUCAGUCCCCAGCCUAGUGAGGAACCUGAGAGUGGAGGCUCAGACCACCAGCUCCAUCUCCCUGAGCUGGGAGGCCCCUGAUGUCCCAGACCCACAGAACUCCACCUACUGGGUUCAAUGCACUGGAGACGUUGGCAGAACAGAGACUCGAACCACAAGAGACACCAACGUCACCGUGGAUGGACUUGGACCCGGGUCAUUGUAUACGUUUUCUGUGUGGGUGGAGAAAGAUGGAGUAAAUAGCUCUGUGGAGACUGUCACGAGUGCCACAGCUCCCAACCCAGUGAGGAACCUGAGAGUGGAGGCUCAGACCAACAGCUCCAUCGCCCUGAGCUGGGAGGUCCCCGAUGGCCCAGACCCACAGAACUCCACCUACGGGGUUGAGUACACUGGAGAUGGUGGCAGACCAGAGACUCGAAGCACAGCUGACACCAACAUCACUGUGGAUGGACUUGAACCCGGGUCUUUGUAUGCGUUUUCCGUGUGGGUGGGGAAGAAUGGAAUCAACAGCUCCCGGGAGACUCAAAAUGCCACCACAGCCCCCAACCCGGUGAGGAACCUGAGAGUGGAGGCUCAGACCAACAGCUCCAUCGCCCUGAGCUGGGAGGUCCCCGAUGGCCCAGACCCACAGAACUCCACCUACUGGGUUCAGUGCGCUGGAGACGGUGGCAGAACAGAGACUCGAACCACAAGAGACACCAACGUCACCGUGGAUGGACUUGGACCCGGGUCAUUGUAUACGUUUUCUGUGUGGGUGGAGAAAGAUGGAGUAAAUAGCUCUGUGGAGACUGUCACGAGUGCCACAGCUCCCAACCCAGUGAGGAACCUGAGAGUGGAGGCUCAGACCAACAGCUCCAUCGCCCUGAGCUGGGAGGUCCCCGAUGGCCCAGACCCACAGAACUCCACCUACUGGGUUCAGUGCGCUGGAGACGGUGGCAGAACAGAGACUCGAACCACAAGAGACACCAACGUCACCGUGGAUGGACUUGGACCCGGGUCAUUCCCCAACCCAGUGAGAAACCUCCAUAUGGAGACUCAGACCAACAGCUCCAUCGCCCUGAGCUGGGAAGUCCCCAAUGGCCCAGACCUUCAGGACUACACCUACUGGGUAGAGUACACUGGAGAUGGUGGUGGAACUGAGACCCGAAACACAACAAAUACCAGUGUGACAGCUGAGGGACUUGAACCCGGAACCUUGUACACAUUCUCUGUAUGGGCAGAAAAACAUGGAGCACGCGGCUCCAGGCAGAAUGUCAGCAUCUCCACAGUGCCCAACGCAGUGACAAGCCUCAGAAAGCAGGACUGGACCAACAGCUCCAUUGCUUUGUGCUGGACAGCUCCCCAGGGCCCAGGCCAGUCUUCCUACACUUACUGGGUCUCAUGGAUCAGGGAAGGCAUGACUGACCCCAGGACCCAAAACACCUCAGGUACUGACAUCACCCUAAAGGAACUGGAAGCUGGCAGCCUGUACCACCUCACCGUCUGGGCCGAGAGGAAUGAGGUCAGAGGCUAUAACAGCACCCUCACUGCAGCCACUGCUCCCAGUGAGGUCACAGAUCUCCAGAAUGAAACUCAGACUAAGAACUCAGUCAUGCUGUGGUGGAAGGCCCCUGGAGACCCCCACUCUCAGUUGUACGUAUACCGGGUCCAGUGGGCCAGCAAGGGACGUCCCCAGAGGGGGCAAGAUCCCCAAGCGAAUUGGGUCAACCAGACUGGCAGGACCAAUGAGACAUGGUACAAGGUGGAGGCCCUGGAACCCGGGACUCUGUACAACUUCACCGUGUGGGCAGAGAGGAAUGACGUAGCCAGUUCCAUGCAGAGCCUCUGUGCAUCCACAUACCCAGACGCAGUCACCAUCACUUCCUGUGUCAGCGCCUCAGCGGGCUAUGGAGUCCACUUGACCUGGUCCUGCCCCCAGGGAGGCUACGAGGCCUUUGAGUUGGAGGUGGGAGGACAGCGGGGCUCCCAGGACAGAUCUUCAUGUGGGGAGGCUGUGUCUGUGUUGGGGCUCAGGCCGGCUCAGUCCUACCCAGCCACCAUCACGACCAUCUGGGACGGAAUGAAGGUUGUGUCUCUCUCUGUGGUCUGCCACACCGAGAGUGCAGGAUUGCUGAGAAGCUGCAGCUUGGGGGCCUUCAAGGCUGAUGAAGACGGGCCAUAGGCUUAAGUCUACCCUAAGACCAGACAUCUAACGACAGAUCUUGGGAGAACUGUGCCAUCAGAGCCUGAGAACACCCAUAGACACCACCAGAUCAGCCAGGCGUGCUGGCUCACGCCUGUAAUCCCAGCACUUUGGGAGGCCGAGGUGGGCGGAUCACCUGCGGUUGGGAGUUCAAGACCAGCUUGACCAACAUGGAGAAACCCUGUCUCUACUAAAAAUACAAAAAAUU
rnacentral:sRNA from 1 species